AGUGAACGCUGGCGGUAGGCCUAACACAUGCAAGUCGAACGGCAGCACAGUAAGAGUUUGCUCUUACGGGUGGCGAGUGGCAGACGGGUGAGGAAUACAUCGGAAUCUACUUUUUCGUGGGGGAUAACGUAGGGAAACUUACGCAAAUACCGCAUACGACCUACGGGUGAAAGCAGGGGAUCUUCGGACCUUGCGCGAUUGAAUGAGCCGAUGUCGGAUUAGCUAGUUGGCGGGGUAAAGGCCCACCAAGGCGACGAUCCGUAGCUGGUCUGAGAGGAUGAUCAGCCACACUGGAACUGAGACACGGUCCAGACUCCUACGGGAGGCAGCAGUGGGGAAUAUUGGACAAUGGGCGCAAGCCUGAUCCAGCCAUACCGCGUGGGUGAAGAAGGCCUUCGGGUUGUAAAGCCCUUUUGUUGGGAAAGAAAAGCAGCAGGUUAAUACCCCGCUGUUCUGACGGUACCCAAAGAAUAAGCACCGGCUAACUUCGUG
rnacentral:rRNA from 1 species